ACAACCUCCAGCUGUUUCCAGCCAGAGUCCUUGUUCAAUCCUCUGAAGCAGCCAAGUGGACUCAGCCCAGCCAGAGUCCAGACUGCCCGCUGAAGGCUGUGAGAAAAUGUGAGGUCAGAGGUCAUCCUGCAGACUCCGUGGAUGGGGACAAACUGGACCAGAGCCUAGGCUUGGAACCAAACGGAACUGUAAGUUGCGGUGAGCUGGGGACUAUUCUGCAGUCGCAGCACGCAGGCUUAUCACUGUGGUGGCUUCUCUCAUUGCGGACCACGGGCUCCAGAAUCCCAUGGACAGAGAGCCUGGCGGGCUAUAGUCCAUGGUGUCGCAAAGAGUUGGACACGACUGAAGCGACUUGGCAUGCACACAAGCGCUAUUACAGCCAUCUCACAAGAAAAGAAUGAACGAAUAUUUUAGCCACCAUAGGACACAGAUGCAGAGAAGGCCCUGUGAGGACACAGCAAGAAGGCAAAUGUCUACCUGCCUAGGAAGAAACAGACCUUGCUGACACCGCAAAUUGGAGCUUCCAGCCUCCAAAAUUAUGAGACAAUGAACACCUUUUGCUUAAGCCAUCCAGUCUGCAGUGGUUAGUUAGAGUGGCCCUAGCAAGCUAAUAUUUUGCUUUUCUCACACAG
ensembl:lncRNA